rnacentral:rRNA from 1 species
UACGUAGGGUGCAAGCGUUGUCCGGAAUUAUUGGGCGUAAAGAGCUCGUAGGCGGUUUGUCGCGUCGAAUGUGAAACCCCGGGGCUCAACCCCGGAACUGCAUCCGAUACUGCGUGGCUAGAGGUAGGUAGGGGAGAUCGGAAUUCCUGGUGUAGCGGUGAAAUGCGCAGAUAUCAGGAGGAACACCGGUGGCGAAGGCGGAUCUCUGGGCCUUACCUGACGCUCAGGCACGAAAGCUAGGGGAGCGAACAGG